rnacentral:rRNA from 1 species
GGGGAAUAUUGCACAAUGGAGGAAACUCUGAUGCAGCAACGCCGCGUGAGUGAUGAAGGUCUUCGGAUUGUAAAGCUCUGUCUUCUGGGACGAUAAUGACGGUACCAGAGGAGGAAGCCACGGCUAACUACGUGCCAGCAGCCGCGGUAAUACGUAGGUGGCAAGCGUUGUCCGGAUUUACUGGGCGUAAAGGGUGCGCAGGCGGACAUUUAAGUGAGAUGUGAAAGACCCGGGCUUAACUUGGGCAGUGCAUUUCAAACUGGAUGUCUAGAGUGCAGGAGAGGAGAACGGAAUUCCUAGUGUAGCGGUGAAAUGCGUAGAGAUUAGGAAGAAUACCAGUGGCGAAGGCGACUUUCUGGACUGUAACUGACACUGAGGCUCGAAAGCGUGGGGAGCAAAC